CACAGAUGAAAAAGACUGCUAGAAUAGAGUUUUGGCAUUAGGGAAUACUAUCUGCAGCAGGGUCAGCUCUGAAUGACUCACUACUGAGAAAAGAAAAGAAAAGAAAAGAAAAGAAAAGAAAAGAAAAGAAAAGAAAAGAAAAGAAAAACUGCAGCAAGGACUAGAGCUUCUGUGUGAAAGCAACUUUAGUAACAAGAAUGUUCAAAACUAGAUUAUUCCCCUGCUUAAUCAUUAACCUUUGUUUUCCUCUGGGGACCUGAAGAGUAUUUUUUAAAAAGAGCUCAGAGAAUUAGAGGGGAUUUAUUCGCACUUUAAGAUAAAAUAGUUGACUCAAGCUUAGGCAUAUGAGGAGAUGUGAAAACUUCUGAUGUCCAGUUCUGUCAACAAUACUGGAUAAAAUGGUGAGAAGGAACACCCCAUGGAAGACAUGCAGUGACAGCAGACAAAAUCUCUGGAUACUACAUCACAGCAAUGGCCCCUCCAGAAGACACAGAGCUAGCAUGAAGUUCACAGGACUUGGGGCUAUAGCCUGCCAUCACUAUAGAAGAAAGAGUUUUUGCAUGAAACACAAUAUAUUUCAAUCACAAGGAAUAGUAUUCAAGGCAUGCAACCACAGGAUAUGAGCUUC
ensembl:lncRNA